rnacentral:misc_RNA from 1 species
UCCCCGUUAUCCUGGGCACUAGGUGCUUGGGGGAGCGACCCUCUGAGUGCCGUCGCUAACGCAGUAAGUGCCCCGCCUGGGGAGUACGGCCGCAAGGCUGAAACUCAAAGGAAUUGACGGGGGCCCGCACAAGCGGUGGAGCAUGUGGAUUAAUUCGAUGCAACGCGAAAAACCUUACCUACCCUUGACAUGUACGGAAGCCUCCAGAGAUGGAGGUGUGCCCGAAAGGGAACCGUAACACAGGUGCUGCAUGGCUGUCGUCAGCUCGUGUCGUGAGAUGUUGGGUUAAGUCCCGCAACGAGCGCAACCCUUGCCAUUAGUUGCCACAUUCAGUUGGGCACUCUAAUGGGACUGCCGGUGACAAACCGGAGGAAGGUGGGGAUGACGUUAGGAAUGUCGA